rnacentral:rRNA from 1 species
UACGUAGGGUGCAAGCGUUAAUCGGAAUUACUGGGCGUAAAGCGUGCGCAGGCGGCUUUGUAAGUCUGUUGUGAAAUCCCCGGGCUUAACCUGGGAAUUGCGAUGGUGACUGCAAGGCUAGAGUUUGGCAGAGGGGGGUAGAAUUCCACGUGUAGCAGUGAAAUGCGUAGAGAUGUGGAGGAACACCGAUGGCGAAGGCAGCCCCCUGGGUCAAAACUGACGCUCAUGCACGAAAGCGUGGGGAGCAAACAGG